rnacentral:lncRNA from 1 species
CAUGAAGUAAACUUUCCAAUUUAUUCCAUUGCAGCCUUCUUCGGAAAAAAAAAAAGUGCAGAGAGAAGAGUCACCAACCACCCCCUGCCCUCUGAGGGACAGUGACAAACGAACGGAAGGAGGGAUGAGUGGGACCAUGUCGGAAAGGAUGUCAGAAGACUGUCCAAAACCAGCCAAAGCCCCCAAACUGCUCGUGGUUUCACCCUGGUUAACGUGGGAUGAUGCCCGGCUCCCGCAGCUGCAGCCAGCUUAGCCCAGGGACUGCAGAGAUAAGAGCAGGGCUUGAGAACCAGCUCCAAAGAGCCAUAAAAAUCACAAGCACAGAAGAGAGAAAAUCUCCAUUAAACUCAGGGCGUAGUUAUAACUGACUCCUUGGCUGGGGGCUUUGCAGCCCGAGCUGCUGGAGAUGGCCCUGCCCUCCCCAGGGAGCUCCCUGGAUCUGCUGGAGCUUUGAAGCAAGAGCGAAGGUGCCUGAGCCCCCGAGAGCUCAGUGCAGGAGCAGAGGGAAUUCCCAGGAUGGGGAUAACGAGACGAGUUUCAGCCCAGCCAGGGAUUUCUCCGGAAAGUCAAACUUCAACCGGGCAGUUGUCGACUUGGCAUCCUUUGGUCCAGCUCCGCUCACUUGAGACAAGGAGAUCCUUCUUAAACCCACCCUGGAAAGACACCGAUAGCAGGGGCUCCUUGGCCAGGACCUGGCGGGGACGGGAGGGAGCGCCCAGGACCCCCCGGCAGCCGGCAGAGCCGCUGGGGGAAGCGGGGACCCCCGGGGACCCCCGGCAGGAGGAGGCAGCAUCGGGGACACCACGGGAGAAAGGCUGA